UACAGGGGCCCCAAGCGUUAAUCGGAAUUACUGGGCUUAAAGGGUGCGUAGGCGGCUCCGUAAGUGCCUUGUGAAAGCCCUCGGCUCAACCGAGGAACAGCAGGGCAUACUGCGGAGCUUGAGGAAGGUAGAGGCCGUUGGAACGCUCGGUGGAGCGGUGGAAUGCGUAGAUAUGAUGUAGAACACCGAUUGCGAAGGCAGCUCACUAAGUUGUAACUGACACUGAGGCACGAAAGCGUGGGUAGCGAACAGG
rnacentral:rRNA from 1 species